rnacentral:rRNA from 1 species
UGGGGAAUAUUGGACAAUGGGCGAAAGCCUGAUCCAGCCAUGCCGCGUGUGUGAAGAAGGUCUUCGGAUUGUAAAGCACUUUAAGUUGGGAGGAAGGGCAGUAAGCGAAUACCUUGCUGUUUUGACGUUACCGACAGAAUAAGCACCGGCUAACUCUGUGCCAGCAGCCGCGGUAAUACAGAGGGUGCAAGCGUUAAUCGGAAUUACUGGGCGUAAAGCGCGCGUAGGUGGUUCGUUAAGUUGAAUGUGAAAGCCCCGGGCUCAACCUGGGAACUGCAUCCAAAGCUGGCGAGCUAGAGUAGGGCAGAGGGUGGUGGAGUUUCCUGUGUAGCGGUGAAAUGCGUAGAUAUAGGAAGGAACACCAGUGGCGAAGGCGACCACCUGGGCUCAUACUGACACUGAGGUGCGAAAGCGUGGGGAGCAAACAGG